GACGUAGGGCGCGAGCGUUGUCCGGAUUUAUUGGGCGUAAAGGGCGCGUAGGCGGCCACGCACGUCCGUUGUGAAAUCGCUCGGCUCAACUGGGCGGGGUCAGCGGAUACGGUGUGGCUAGAGCAAGCUAGGGGGCAAUGGAAUUCCCGGUGUAGUGGUGGAAUGCGUAGAUAUCGGGAGGAACACCAGUGGCGAAGGCGGUUGCCUGGAGCUUUGCUGACGCUGAUGCGCGAAAGCGUGGGGAGCGAUCCGG
rnacentral:rRNA from 1 species